rnacentral:lncRNA from 10 species
CGGAGUUUCGCUCUUGUUGUCCAGGCUGGAGUGCAAAGGCACGAUCUUGGCUCACUGCAACCUCUGCCUCGCAGGUUCAAGUGAUUCUCCUUCCUCAGCCUCCCGAGUAGCUGGAACUACAGGCAUGCACCACCAUGCCUGGCUAAUUUUGUAUUUUUAGUAGAGACGGAGUUUCUGCACGUUGGUCUUGCUGGUCUGGAACUCCCGACCUCAGGGCAUGAACAUAAUGCAGCCAAGUUCUUUGCUGAGGCAUAACAAGGAUGACCUUUACUCCAGUUUCCAAUAGGGUCCUCAUUUCCAUCUGGGACCUGGUCAGGCUGGAGGUCACUGUACACAUUUUUAUCAGCAUUUUGUUCUAAAGAAUCAUUCUAAAAUGGACUGGAAAUACAACAUUCCGAGUUAGAGAGGAACUGUCUGGUACAGCCCGGGGAUUGUUCCUCUCUCCUCUGGAAUCAGGAUGUGCUUCAAAGUUUUGUCCAGUGAACCGCCUCACCCCUGAGGUAUAUAACCCAGGGAGGACUGCCUUUUUGGGUCCCUCAGCUGUGGUGCAAGCGGGACACACACAGCUGAGACUCCAUCUGCCCUGGAGAAGCUUUCUUGG